GAUGAAGAACGCAGCAAAAUGCGAUAAGUAAUGUGAAUUGCAGAAUUCAGUGAAUCAUCGAAUCUUUGAACGCACAUUGCGCCUGCCAGCACUCUGGCAGGCAUGCCUGUUCGAGCGUCAUUUCAACCAUCAAGCCCUAGGCUUGCGUUGGAGCCCUGCGGCUGCCGCAGGCCCCUAAAAGCAGUGGCGGGCUCGCUAUCACACCGAGUGCAGUAGAUUACUCUUCGCUCAGGGCGUGUGGCGAGUUCCAGCCGUGAAACCCCCUACUUCUCAAGGUUGACCUCGGAUCAGGUAGGAAUACCCGCUGAACUUAAGCAUAUCAAUAAGCGGAGGA
rnacentral:misc_RNA from 1 species